rnacentral:rRNA from 1 species
UACGGAGGGUGCAAGCAUUGAUCGGAAUUACUGGGCGUAAAGGGCGCGUAGGCGGCAAAAUAAGUCAGAUGUGAAAUUCCACGGCUCAACCGUGGAGCUGCAUUUGAAACUGUUUAGCUAGAGCAUAGUUAGGGAAAACGGAAUUCCACAUGUAGCGGUGAAAUGCGUAGAUAUGUGGAGGAACACCGGUGGUGAAGACGGUUUUCUGGGCUAUAGCUGACGCUGAGGCGCGAAAGCUAGGGGAGCAAACAGG